GACGAACGCUGGCGGCGUGCUUAACACAUGCAAGUCGAACGGUAAGGCCCUUCGGGGUACACGAGUGGCGAACGGGUGAGUAACACGUGGGUGAUCUGCCCUGCACUUCGGGAUAAGCCUGGGAAACUGGGUCUAAUACCGGAUAGGACUACUGCCUGCAUGGGUGGUGGUGGAAAGCUUUUGCGGUGUGGGAUGGGCCCGCGGCCUAUCAGCUUGUUGGUGGGGUGAUGGCCUACCAGGGCGACGACGGGUAGCCGGUCUGAGAGGGGUACCUGCCGCACCGUGUCUUACAUACGGCACAGACUCCUACUAGAUACAGCGGUGGGGAUUAUGUGUCCAUGGGCGCAAGCCCGGUGCAGCGACGGUGCGUGAGGGAUGACGGCCUUCGGGUUGUAAACCUCUUUCAGCACCGACGAAGCGCAAGUGACGGUAGGUGCAGAAGAAGGACCGGCCAACUACGUGCCAGCAGCCGCCGUAA
rnacentral:rRNA from 1 species